rnacentral:lncRNA from 1 species
CUAUAAAAUGUGGAAUGGACUUUAAUAUCAGUUUUCAUGAUUUGGUGCUUAAACUGUUUCUUUCAGUCAGAUUAACCAUAAACAGAGUUGGCAAUCCAAUAAUUCCUUUUGAAUCACCAUGUUUGACUUCUGUGUUGAUUUGAAACAUCAUAUAUUUGGGUUUUGUUCACUCCUUAAGUAAAAAUGGUAAGAUGAAAAAAAGUGAAA